GGGUGGAUAGCUCAGCGGUAGAGCUCCUCCCUUACAAGGAGGAUGUCGUCGGUUCGAAUCCGGCUCCACCCA
rnacentral:tRNA from 2 species